GCCGGUCACCGUGGCGCGUGCCUGUGGUCCCAGCUACUCGGGAAGCUGAGGUGGGAAGAUAGCUUGAGCCCAGGAGUUCUGGGCUGUAAAGCGCUAUGCCGAUUGGAUGUCUGCACUAAGUUCGGCAUCAAUAUGUGACCUCCAGGGAGCGGGAGACCACCAGGUUGCCUAAGGAGGGGUGAACCGGUCCAGGUAGGAAACGGAGCAGGUCAAAACUCCCGUGCUGAUCAGUAGUAGGAUCGUGCCUGUGAAUAGCCACUGCACUCCAGCCUGGACAACAUAGCGAGACCCCGUCUACU
ensembl:misc_RNA Metazoa_SRP Metazoan signal recognition particle RNA